UGAGGAAUAUUGGUCAAUGGGCGCAAGCCUGAACCAGCCAUCCCGCGUGCAGGAAGACGGCCCUAUGGGUUGUAAACUGCUUUUCCAGGGGGAGAAUUUUUCUGUCGUGACAGGAAUUGACGGUACCCUGGGAAUAAGCAUCGGCUAACUCCGUGCCAACAGCCGCGGUACUACGGAGGAUGCGAGCGUUAUCCGGAGUUAUUGGGUUUAAAGGGUGCGUAGGCGGAUAGAUAAGUCAGUGGUGAAAACCUGCAGCUUAA
rnacentral:rRNA from 1 species